rnacentral:misc_RNA from 1 species
GAAAUGCGAUAAGUAAUGUGAAUUGCAGAAUUCAGUGAAUCAUCGAAUCUUUGAACGCACCUUGCGCUCCUUGGUAGUCCUUGGAGCAUGCCUGUUUGAGUAUCAUGAAAUCUUCAAAGUAAAUCUUUUGUUAACUCAAUUGGUUUCUACUUUGGUAUUGGAGGUCUUUGCAGCUUCACACCUGCUCCUCUUUGUUCAUUAGCUGGAUCUCAGUGUUAUGCUUGGUUCCACUCGGCGUGAUAAGUUAUCUAUCGCUGAGGACACUGUAAAAGGUGGCCAAGGUAAAUGCAGAUGAACCGCUUCUAAUAGUCCAUUGACUUGGACAAUACUUUUAUGAUCUGAUCUCAAAUCAGGUAGGACUACCCGCUGAACUUAAGC